UAAUACGGAGGGUGCGAGCGUUGUCCGGAUUUAUUGGGUUUAAAGGGUGCGUAGGUGGCUUUAUAAGUCAGUGGUGAAAUACAGCCGCUCAACGGUUGAGGUGCCAUUGAUACUGUAGAGCUUGAAACAAGUGGAGGCUGCCGGAAUGGAUGGUGUAGCGGUGAAAUGCAUAGAUAUCAUCCAGAACACCGAUUGCGAAGGCAGGUGGCUACGUUUGAUUUGACACUGAGGCACGAAAGCAUGGGGAGCAAACAGGAUUAGAUACCCUGGUAGUCCAUGCCGUAAACGAUGAGGACUCGCUGUUGGGCUGUCAAGGUUCAGCGGCUUAGGGAAACCGUUAAGUCCUCCACCUGGGGAGUACGCCGGCAACGGUG
rnacentral:rRNA from 1 species